CAGGAGGGACCACCCUCCAAGGCUAAAUACUACCUAGUGACCGAUAGCGUAUAGUACCGUGAGGGAAAGGUGAAAAGAACCCCGGGAGGGGAGUGAAAUAGAACCUGAAACCCUGCACUUACAAGCUGUGGAAGCACAUUUCUUGUGUGACCGCGUACUUUUUGUAGAACGGGCCAACGAGUUACGUUAAGUAGCAAGGUUAAGCACUUAAGGUGUGGAGCCGUAGCGAAAGCGAGUUUUAACUGAGCGUUCAGUUACUUGACGUAGACCCGAAACCGGGCGACCUACCCAUGAGCAGGAUGAAGCGAAAGUAAAAUUUCGUGGAGGUCCGAACCCACGAGCGUUGAAAAGCUCGGGGAUGACUUGUGGGUAGCGGUGAAAUUCCAAUCGAGCCCGGAGAUAGCUGGUUCUCCCCGAAAUAGCUUUAGGGCUAGCCUCAAGGUGAGAGAUACGGAGGUAGAGCACUGAAUGUCCUAGGGGGUAUUGCACCUACCGAAGACUAUCAAACUCCGAAUGCCGUCAUCUUAUACUUGGGAGUCAGACUGUGGGUGAUAAGAUUCAUAGUCGAAAGGGCAACAGCCCAGAUCGUCAGCUAAGGUCCCUAAAUGUAAGUUAAGUGGUAAAGGAUGUGGGAUUGCACAGACAACCAGGAUGUUGGCUUAGAAGCAGCCACUCAUUCAAAGAGUGCGUAAUAGCUCACUGGUCGAGUGAUCCUGCGCCGAAGAUUUCCGGGGCUAAAACUUACUACCGAAGCUACGGCAUCAGUAAUGAUGGGUAGGGGAGCUUCCCAUACGGGUUGAAGCAUGACCGUAAGGACAUGUGGACAGUAUGGGAGUGAGAAUGUUGGCAUGAGUAGCGAGAUGUGGGUGAGAAUCCCACAGGCCGUAAACCCAAGGUUUCCAGGGGAAGGUUCGUCCGCCCUGGGUUAGUCGGGACCUAAGCUGAGGCCGAAAGGCGUAGGUGAUGGACAACAGGUUGAUAUUCCUGUACUACCGAUAACCGUUUGAGAGAAGGGAUGACACAGUAGGAUAAGCUAAGCACACUGUUGGUUAUGUGUGCCCAAGCAUUGAGGCAGUCAAAGUAGGCAAAUCCGCUUUGAUAAUGCUGGGAUGUGAUGGGGAGCGAAAUUUAGUAGCGAAGUAGCUGAUUUCACACUGUCAAGAAAAGUCUCUAUCGAGGUUAAAGGUACCCGUACCGCAAACCGACACAGGUGGGUGAGGAGAGUAUCCUAAGGCCAGCGAGAGAACUGUUGUUAAGGAACUCGGCAAAAUGACCCCGUAACUUAGGGAUAAGGGGUGCCACCAUCAGGUGGCCGCAGAGAAUAGGCCCAAGCGACUGUUUACCAAAAACAUAGGUUUCUGCUAAGUCGCAAGACGAUGUAUAGGAGCUGACGCCUGCCCGGUGCUGGAAGGUUAAGGGGAUCUGUUAGAGCAAUCGAAGCAGUGAACUUAAGCCCCAGUAAACGGCGGCCGUAACUAUAACGGUCCUAAGGUAGCGAAAUUCCUUGUCGGGUAAGUUCCGACCCGCACGAAAGGCGUAACGAUUUGGGCACUGUCUCAACAACAGACUCGGUGAAAUUGUAAUUCCGGUGAAGAUGCCGGAUACCUGCGACAGGACGGAAAGACCCCAUGGAGCUUUACUGUAGCUUGACAUUGGGUCUUGGUACUACAUGUACAGGAUAGGUGGGAGGCUUUGAAACCAGGACGCCAGUUUUGGCGGAGCCAUCCUUGGGAUACCACCCUUGUAGUACUGGGACUCUAACCAUAGGCCAUGAAUCUGGUCUUGGGACACUGUCAGGUGGGCAGUUUGACUGGGGCGGUCGCCUCCCAAAAGGUAACGGAGGCGCUCAAAGGUUCUCUCAGUACGGUCGGAAAUCGUACGUAGAGUGUAAAGGCAAAAGAGAGCUUGAUUGCAAGACAUACAGGUCGAGCAAGGAUGAAAAUCGGACUUAGUGAUCCGGUGGUUCUGCGUGGAAGGGCCAUCGCUCAACGGAUAAAAGCUACCCUGGGGAUAACAGGCUUAUCUCCCCCAAGAGUCCACAUCGACGGGGAGGUUUGGCACCUCGAUGUCGGCUCAUCACAUCCUGGGGCUGUAGUAGGUCCCAAGGGUUGGGCUGUUCGCCCAUUAAAGUGGUACGCGAGCUGGGUUCAGAACGUCGUGAGACAGUUCGGUCCCUAUCCGUCGCAGGCGUAGGAAAUUUGAGAAGACCUGUCCUUAGUACGAGAGGACCGGGAUGGACGUACCUCUGGUGUACCAGUUGUCCUGCCAAGGGCAUGGCUGGGUAGCUAUGUACGGAAUGGAUAAGCGCUGAAAGCAUCUAAGCGCGAAGCCAACUUCAAGAUAAGAUUUCCCACCGCAAGGGUAAGACCCCAGAAAGACUAUCUGGUUGA
rnacentral:rRNA from 1 species